CCAAAGCUUCCUUCUUUCUCAAAUCUGAGAGGAAACCUAAACCGUGAUCCAAUGGCGACGAUGGCAUUCACCCAACCAAAGAAAACCCGACUCCCACUCCUCCUUUUCCUCCUCUGCAUCUCCGUCAUCAUCCUCCUCAUCCUCCUCUCCGAGACCACCCACUCCGUCUCCACCCAACAACAAGACACCACUCUCCUCCAAAACCACAACAACAACAAGGCCCCGCCUUUCACUUUCCUCAUCAAAGUCCUCACCUUCAACCGCCCCCACUCCCUCUCCCGCUGCCUCCUCUCCCUCUCCGCCGCCGAUUACGCCCUCGCCGGCGCCGCGCGCCGCGUUCACCUCCACGUCUACGUCGACCACUUCUCACUCUCUCCUGACGACGGCGACAAAUCCGCGGUGGGAGAUCGCUUGAGCAACGCGAAGGAGAUCUUGGAUCUCGUGGAUGAGUUCGAGUGGAGAUUCGGGGAGAAGCUGGUUCACUAUCGUACGGCCAACGCCGGAUUGCAAGGACAGUGGCUGGAGGCGUGGUGGCCGAGCUCUGAUCACGAGUUUGCGUUCGUCGUCGAAGACGAUCUCGAGGUCUCUCCGCUUUACUUUGGGUUUCUGGAGAGCGUGAUUCGUAGUUACUACUAUGAUCGCUCUAAUUACAAUCCUUCUGUCUAUGGAGCUUCCCUUCAGCGACCAAGGUUCGUUCCAGGUAAGCAUGGGAAUAAACUACAUGUGGAUCCCAAAACGAACGUUUUCUUAUACCAGUUGGUGGGAACUUGGGGGCAGCUUCUGUUUCCCAAACCGUGGAAAGAGUUCAGACUCUGGUAUGACGAGCAUAAAUCGAAGGACAAGAAGCCUUUCCUUGAUGGCAUGGUGACGAAUGGAUGGUACAAGAGGCUGGGAGAAAGAAUAUGGACACCUUGGUUCAUAAAGUUUAUUCACUCUCGUGGCUAUUUUAACAUCUACACCAGUUUCCAAAACGAGAGGGCGUUGAGUGUCUCUCACAGGGAUGCUGGUGUUAACUACGGGAAAACCGCUGGACCAGACUCGCAGCUGCUGAAUAGAAGCACCGUCGGUUCUGAUUUUCUGAAACUCCAGCCCUUGAGCAACCUUAAGUGGUACGAUUACUGUUUCGGUGAAGUUGUUCCCGGUAGAGUUGUGAGGAGCGUGGAUGAGCUUGGAGUCAUUCUUCCUUCUGUGCAGAGAGAGAAAGUUGUGGUUCUGGUCAGUCUAUUUGCUGCGGAGAAAAUGUUUGUCAGGAACUUGCUAUGCCAUUUCGAGAAGAUUGAUACUCGAAACCACAUUUUUAUAGGCCCUAGCUCUGAGUUGUUCUAUGAUCUUUCGAGAAGGGGGCAUCCUGUGAUUGAUGCGGAUAUGUUUCUCGACAAGUUGGUGAAAGGCAAAACUUCGUACUCAAACUCGGUGAGCGAGGCUCUGGGGAAUGCUUACGUUGUUAAGAAAUGCUUAGAACUUGGUUACAGCACGUGGGUGUUUUCGAGUAAUGCGCUUCUGGUGGAUAGAGGUCCACUCCUUGACAGAGUCAGAUCAGAACACGAUUUCUAUAUCGGGGAAAGCUCUGGGAUAUUGAUUGUUAAAUCUUCUUCAGUCACUCAAAAGUUGUGGAGCAAUGAGCUUUUGAAUAGCAUAGUAUCCUCAGCAACGAAGAAUCCAUCCUCAAAACAAGGUCUAGAUUUUAUUCAUCUAGUGAAAGAGCUAGUGGAGCGAAAGGGCAAGAUGAUUAAGACUGUAGAGACGAUGAGUAUUGCAAAGAAUACCAAUGCCAACAGUGUAAACCAAUCGUUGGGAGAUGGCAAACCAGUGGCGUGUUGGUCACCUGAAGUUGAUUCUACUAUCAUUCAGACAAAGCUUGCGGAACUGAACUUGUGGCUCAUUGAUGAUGAUCUCUCUUGCAAGGCUGUGAUUUGUCAUAGCUCAUUACGUUAGAUAAAAGAAAAGGGAAGCUAUUGGCAUUUUUCUGGCGAUGACAUCGCAAUGAUUCACGGGUGAAAUACAGGGCUGUGUGAGGGAUCAGCUGUAUACCUGGAAUAUCAUGUGAAUGUAACAUAAAGAGAUCGAUUACCAAAGAAGCUAAAAUGUCACAACAAAGACUUAUUUGCAAACGAGUUCUUGGUUCCAUAAUUAGAAGAAUGCUCUGCUUCCGUAAAAGACACGAGACCCUUCUUUUUUCUUCUCCGUGCCGUUAUUGUUAUUACCAUUAUUAUUGUUAUUCCGAUUCUGAAUCUGAGUUUCAGUGUUGUUGUUAUUGUUGUUGUGAUCCAUGGGAAGCUUCAUCUUUGCUAAAGACUCGGUGAACUGUUGCAUACUUCUCAUAUACAUCUCUGCUAUCUGUUUCUGCAUCGA